AGGUGGCUGUGAGCUGUGUGGGGUGUGGUGGAGAGCUGCCCUGGAGGCUCCUAGGCUAAGAUGCCUUGAGGACGGGAUUCAUCGGAGUAAGAACAGGACGAUGUGACUUCUACGUGGGGCUCGGAUGGCAAUGCCCCCGCCAUGAUACCGCUCCUUCCUUGACUCUGAGAAUAACCUAGAUGAGCACGUUGGACUUGGACAACCCGCUCUUAGACACCUAACGUUUGGUGGUGGGAGGAAGGACUCAAAGCCGAGCACUAACUACUCUUCCAGUGACCUUCCCCACUUUUCAUGAGCUGGACCAUCUUCACCUGCGCAGUCCCUUUCCGUUGCUCCAACGCUUUCCAGUGCAACGGACAAGCAGGGCAUAACGCAGACGUGUUGCGCCGGGGUUGGAAAGAUCAGCAGGAGCAAUUAGCCGCCGAACCAAGCUCCCGGCGAAGCGAUGUGGCCUCAUCUCCUGACGUCUGUCCGAUCGAUGCCGGGUAAUACGCUUCGGCUGAGCAACUCGAUCCCGGUGUAGGAGAAAACCGAGCGGGCCGAGCGACGCGGGCAGUCGGAUCAAGCAACGCGGCGACCCCUUCCAGCCUUUGCCCUGCCCGUAAGUGGUCCGCGGCUCCGCGCUCCAUCCAGGCUCCGUAGGGAUCAGCUGGCAAAUGCAGGUGCGAGGCAGAAAACGGAGCUUUCUCGUGCCGGCUUCGAGGAUGCUGCAGCUGAAAACGCCGUUUCCAGGCCGCUCGGUGCGGGAGAAAGCCAUUUGCAGCUUCUCCCGGCGCCUUCAGCUGAGUGAUGGGUGCUGCUGCAGGAAAAGGGGAGAUUUUUCCCAAGGUCGCACGUGCCGGCGGGCGACGGCGCUUGCAAGGUCAGACGAAUCUCCGCACCGAACCUCCCAUGUGCUGCUUGGACGGAUGCGAAUUUGGAAGUGGGAUGGCAGGGAUGGGACGUGGUCUUUGCGUCCCUGCUUCGCUCUGAGAAGCAGACCUCCAGGCUGCUGUGCUGGGGAGAAACCAGCAGGUUCUUGGGCUUCCAGUCGUUGCCCAGAAAGUUCAAAAUCUUCCUCACCAGCCUUGGUGGACUUCAUUUUCUUCUGAUUCGCUUCUCUUUCAUGGGCAAGGGACCAUGGUGCAUGGCGAAAAAGGAGAUUCCCAUCCCAAAGAGCUGGUCCGCAGAGUGCUCAGUGCUUUGCCCUCCUGGUCCAAUCCCACCCCAGGGCCUCCAGGUCCGAGAAAUCCAGCGCUCCCAAAGCACGGCUGGCGCCAAGCCUUUCCCAUCUGCUCUGGCCCCUCGUCACGAACGCACAACAAACAUAUGUGGCAAUUAGAUCCAUAAAAUAUCACGUCUCGUACGUGACUGAGCUCCAGGCAUACGCUCUUCGCAGCGUACGUCUGCGGUGGGUUUGCUCCUGGAGAAGACACCGAGGAAGAGGGAUUCGACGUUCUGCUCACCUACGCUCGUGACUCAGAGGCGGCUCAGCCGAGUGCCCGGGCAGGCUGAGGGCUGCAGGACUCGGGGUCUCCUUCGCUGAAGAAACACCUCUGUGCCAGCGCCGCUGAUCGCGUGAGUGUUUGAUUGCGAUGAUAACCGCUCGUGGGAGCCGUAAUUGAAUUGCCGCUCAGCCAGAUUUGGCGAAGCGGCAUCUCAAAGGGAGACCGGCGGCACUAAUAGUCACAAGAUCCUCCGCAGCCUCCGUACGGCCGCUUCAUCCGUGGAGGGCACCAGGAGAACAUCAGGCUCCUCCGCCAGAGCUGCUCCUCCGGAUCACCCACCACCCACCCGGAAUUUCCCAUGGACUAGGCGAAACUUGCCUCCGAGUCCGGGAAGCUGCCCAUGGGUCACCCCGUGUGUCUCCUGGGCUUCUCCAGUCCCCAUCCAGCUCGUUACCCUUUGGAAGAAGCUCUUCCUCGUCCCCUCUCAUUGCUCUGCAGCACCUCCAAGCAGGCAUCCACCGGCCUCCGCUGCGGCAGUAAGUGGGAGCGCGGCGUCGGCACGUCAGGCACUUCCAAGCGCGUCGACUCCGGUAGCGUUUAUUUAUCCCCCCCUUUUCCCGUAGUUAACUUCCACCGCGGAAAAGGGAUGCGCCGCUCGCUAUCCACAGGGAAAGAAAGAAAUGUGCAAGAGGGAAACCCAUCCUUCCUGAAAAUAAAAGCAAGAAGAGACGGUGCGAACUAUUCAAUUAGUGCCCCGCGAUCUCAGCCUCCCCCCGUGUUUAAAUAGGCCACCCGAAACACGGCCGGGUCAAAUCCAGCUCCCUCGGUGCUGCGGGAUUUUGCUUCGUCGCCACGAGCAGCUUUGGAAGGGCUUCCCGGGAAGCUCCCAUCGCCAAGAGGGAAACGGAGAGGCCGGCGGGGUUUUUGUCUUCGGCAGGGCAGGCUGCCGUGUAGGAAACACGGAGAGGAUUUUGUUUUCUCCCUGUAACACGUUUCCCCCAGCCCCUUGCGUGCUUGCCAGGAAAAAAGGGGGAAAAAAGAAACUUUUCUGGAAUUGCACUGUACGGCACGGCGCGGGCGCCAGCACGGGGGCUCUCGCCACCCGAAACGCUGCCGGUUCUCCCUGUGGAAGGGGAAACCGAGGCAAGGGGAGAGGUUUCUUUCUUUUUUACUCUUUGGAGCAGGCGAACGGGCCGAGCUCGGCGGGAAAAUACGGUGCUAAGGAGGGCGGUUUCACGGGAAGCCAAAAUGCUGCGAUUCCCCCCAAAACCUCUCACCUCUACCAAAAGCAAGUGCCCCGCCGCCGCCGCGCAUCCCCUUCCCCGGGCUUUGGCCCUCGGCUACUGCUGUAGCCUCUGUUGCGGCCCAAUAUUAACCGAAGCAAAAGCUGCCGGGGGAAAAGCAGAGGUGCUGGGCUCCGAGACGGAUUGCGGGAGCCGAGGAGAUAAAUCCUGCGAGCGCAGCCUACGUGGGGAGAAGAAGACAAAUACCGAAAUAAAUAUGAAAAGAAGACAAAUUUGGGCUACAGGGAGCAAGUGAGCCAGAGAGAGAGAGGAAAUUGCGCUCAAACAGACAAGGUUUCCUGGAGACAAAGGUAAAAUUGGGAAAAAUGAGAUCGAGACCAAAGGGGGAUAAAUCAUGAGGGCAGCCCGUCUGAAAAUUAUUGGGAAUGAAGCCUUCCCGGUAAGUGAGACAUCCACCGCAAGACAAAUCUGCUGCGAGGAGCCAAUACAGAUGCCGCGGCAGGGAUACAGGCUGGGGAAGACGGAUGUGCCGGGGGACGGCGACCUCUCCGCCUGCCCAGAAGUGGGGUUUGGGGUCCCACGCGGGGGAUUUCACCGUGCCAGCCGCAACGUAGAGCUUGCUGCACGUUUUUCCCCGCGGCUCCCCCCGCCUCGUGUUUUCAGCUGCGAGGAGCGGGUGCCGAGCUAAACGCACCCGGGUUUCUGCUGGAAAAGCAGCAAUGUGCACACCAACACACACUGAAACGCGGUACUUCUAUUUAGGGGGCCUUUUCUACGCCUGUAUUUGCCCUGCGCUCGCUGCUCUGCCGGCCUUUCCCCUCUCUUCCCCGCGCUGAUUUAUGUAGUUUGGAGUCCUGCUCGGGAGCUGAUAGCAUGACACGGCCAGACUUCAGAAUAAACCUCCCUCUUGAUACCGGGUUAUUUUAUUGGGUGCAUCAAGGCUGCAAACAACCUCGUUCAUCUUCGGGAACGUAUUUUCCCAUUUGCUGUAUAAAUACAUACAUGUUUCCUUGCAUUAUUCACCUCGGCGCCGCAGAUAGAUGAGCGGCAGCAAGGGCACCACAUUUUUAUUCCUCGCUCGGCGAGGGGAAGGCACGAGGGAGGCUCGCGGCGGGAUGGGGCGGCCGCGUGCGGCACGGGCAGCCUUCUCCCCAUCACUUCAGGCUCAUUUUCGGAAUUGCAACCGCGGGGCGUUUGCUUUCCUGUUACGCCUAUGAAAUUAAGUGAGACGGCGCAAUAAGAGCAUUGCCUUCAAAAUGAUGCUGCGCUGGAAGAGCAAGCUCGCCACUGCCGCCGGCGCGGCGGGUUCGUCUCGGGCUUAAUUUCCGCGGGCUGUUGUGUUAUUAGGCGUUAACAUGCUGGUUUUGUUUAAUCUCCGGCUCCGUCGCCCAUGGCUGCCUCCAAGCCGACGGCUCGCUCCCGUUGAGGGAAGUCCUCAUUCAUCCUCGUUAGCGCAAUUAGGGGGAGAGCGGAGCGCGGCGGCGCUGCUCCACGCGGGGCCGGGCCAGGGCGAGCCGGGCAGCGGGGCCUCGCCGCCGGCGGAGCGAACGGCUCCCGGGAAGGCGGCGAGAGCAAAUGAAUUGAGCCUUCAAGACGUCUUCGAGUGGGUGCUGGCGGCUUUGCUUCUCCAAGCACGGGGAUUGCAGGGCGCCCAGAAAUUUGGAAAUUCAGAGGAUGCCUUCCCGACGUGGGCUCGAGGCAGAAGGGAUGCCGGGGCAAAAGCAUCCUCACCUUACGUGCACCUAAAUGCAAAAAGAACAGGGUUGUUAUUUUUUUCUGCCAAAUAAGUCAGUGAAAUUGUUCAGAAAAGUUGCAGUGGGCUUUGCAGUGUUUGCUCUCCGCGGGCGAAAACCACCGUCUCCAAAAUGCGGGGCACCGAGCCUGCCGGUGGCCCGGCCCAGGCGAAGCUCUCCGCGGAAGCCGUCGGCGCUCGGCCCCUGGAAACGACGCUAAAAUAGACCUGCGGAGUCGGGAUCGCACCUCCCGAACGGUGAUGCCGGUGGUUAUGGGCUCUAGCAAAGCCCCUGCGGGAAUUUGCUGCCUAUCGGGAAAAAUCAGGCAAGCGGAGCCCAGCUUCAAGCUGACUUCACCGCAAGCAAAAACUAUUGGAAUGGUUUUAAGCAAUUCUUCUUACUGGGGAGCUGAUAAGGUUGAUUUACAGCAACCCAAUGGAUGCCGAGAGGGCGAAAAGAUACCGGAGCAGCGCUUGGUUUCAGGCCUCGCCUUGGAGCGGAUGCUGAUGCCAGGAGGAGCAUCGGGCCACGAUGGCUGGAAAAAGAAAGGUUGGGAAUUGUUUCGCUGAAAUUGGGAUUGUAAGUGAGGGGGGAAAAAUCUCACUGCCCCAAGAGACAAUUUGUGUCAGCCUCUUGAGGGAAAAAAAUCAAGUUUCCGUAGUUUACAGAUUUCCUCCAAGGCGUGUGGGGGGAAUCUUUUAUUUUUCCUGCUUUUUGUUUAAGAAGCAAGGGAAUAGGGGAAGGGAACAGCAGGGAACUGAGGUUUUAUUUCAAAACGAUGCAGCCGAAGCAGCUGCUGAGCAGUUUGGCAAGGCCACAUGCAGCUUCUCUUGCUUUGCCGUGAAGAUACGGCCCCCAAAGCUCGCCGAGGGGGCAUUUUGCUGCUUUGCUUUUCCACCGAUCGAGGCCAGGCUGGGUCUUGGGACGGACUUCCAAAGGGCUAAUCUGCCAAAACAGUUAUAUUUUCCACACUACUGGGGCUGAGGACUCCGGGGAGCCUGAGCUCCCUGUCGCAGCCUGGCCCGAGCAGCUCCACAACCUGCCCCGAAUCCCAGCGCACGGCUGGAGGGAGCCCGGAGCGGAGCUAUUCCAAGUACACCAAGUCCACUGCUGCCCUUGGGCUUGCACAGAGCAGAGGAGACUAUAUUUUAGCCCACAACGGUGGAGCAACCUCCUCCUCGAAAGCACGAGGGCUUUAUAACCCAUCUCUCCGCAGAUGCUGCCGUUUUCAGGUCCCCAUCCAGAAGACAGCUCAGGCGGCAGCUCCGGGCAGGGGCACCUCGAGGGCCAUGCGGGACUCCAGAAGCCGGCCCGGCUUCAGCUCCACAAGCACCCGAAGCUGGGGGAGAAGCUGGUGGAUGCAUCCUCCACGCACACUCUUGCAAACGCGGGGUACCUCCGCCAGCCCCUGCCUUCGAACGCAUCGGUGCAACCCAGCCGCGUCCCCCCUGCUCGGCCUUUUUCUUGACGAGCAUGGGAUGUUUAGCGGCUCCUCUUGGCACGCGCUCGGCAGCCAGAGGCAGAGGCAGAAGCGAUCAAACCCGGCGGCUCUUGCCUCUUGUCUCCUCCACGCGGCCCCUCUUGCGAGAAGGAGCCCUGCUUGGAAACCAAAGCUGAACGCCGGCAGCGGAAGAGCGGAGCAGGCGCCCUCUGAAAUGCAAAUGCCUCUUGGAGAGCCACCUGCCUGGAAAGCGCCGAUGCUGCCGGCUCAGCUCGGGAAGGGGGAGAGCUGCUUCGGGGCCCUUGCCGCUGCCGCUCUUCCCGUCCUAUGGCCUUAUCCGCUGGGCCUGGGCUGGGGUCGCGCGCGGCGGGCGGCACGGAGGCGCACGCAGCACACGCCAGCCACAUCGAGCAGCUUUUUGCACCCGCUCUGUAAAUCCCUUUCCCUCCCUUUCUCAUUUGUAACAUUUCUUUUUUUUUUUCCCCCGCUUUCCUCAGUGUCCUGUUCAUCUCCCGGCUCAGCAUCCUUUCAUCCUGCUUCAGCUUCAUUAGGAGGGAGCCUGAACCCAGCUGCGAGCUACAGCUGCGAGGAGGCAGGUAGCUCGGGGCUGCAGAGCCGGCUGCAAUUUCCAUUUAAAAGCUGAUCCUGGCCUGCUUUGCAGGUUUGCCUGCUUGGAGGAGGGGGGCCCUGGCCUGUGUGUGAAGGCGAAGGCGAAGGCUCUGCUGCCAGGAGGGUGAAAAGUUUCUAGACCUCCCAGUGCAAAGUGCUUGCAAAUGGCACAAGAAAAAAUUCCCAGAGUAAAGACUGUUUGCCGGAGCGAAUGCCACUGAUUUCCGCUCACCGGUACCAAUUCGGCAUCAAAACGUCCGUGCAACCAGCAGACUGCAGCCACGUCGGCCCAAACGUCCUGGCUCUCUGCGGGUACUUACCCCCCUGGAAACGUCGCUUCGUCGGUCACCGCUUCGUCGCGGCUGAGGUCUGCCGCACCAAGCAACGCUAUCGGAGUUGGGGUUUGCUCGCCCAGUUUUGCCUGUGCUUGCGUCAACACCCAGCCGCGGCGCUGCUGCAUUUCGCCUAGGGACCGUUGACAUGAAAACAGCCAGCCAGCUGAAUGCAAAACAUGACAUGAAAAUAACUUAGCAUGAAAAAAACCUGCAUGAAAGGCUGCAUCGAAGCUUUUAGAGGAUGGUUUCGGGAUCGUACUUGGUUAAGCCAGGAGGGCUUAGCAGGAAACCAGUUGGUGAGGUGACACACGGGAGACUGAACCUCAGCGAAGUCUGCAGCAUGGUUUGGCUUUCAAAGGACACCCGGGUGCUGCGAUGAACCGUGCUGCAGCCCGGGGAAAUGCAUGGCUGCGCCGCGAUGCCACGUGGCUAUUAGCAGAGGGCACGACGCCUGCAUGAAACCACAGGAGGAAUUGGGGAAAACGAGCUUGACAAGGACCGUGGCCCUUGCAAAAGCAUCGCAGAGGCAUACUGACCCAGCCGACGCUUCUCGUCUCGGGGGUGUUGCGGCUGUGCAUUGCCAAAGAGGCACCUACAGCACUCCCACUCCUGUCUACACUCGAUGCCCAGCUUUGGCAGCACCUUCUGCUUUCCCAGAGGUCCCUCAAGCCCAGCCCAGCCCUGCCCAGUCUCUAAAAAAGGGGAUGGCAGCCCGGAGUAGGAAGCUGAUCUGCUUUGCUACAUCCCCAUGAAACAAAAUGUCGUCAAAGCGCUUUUUUUUUUUUGUCUUUCACCCUCAAAGCCUGAGUGUCUUUCUCCCCCUGUGGCUGUUUCCAGGGCCUGCCUAUCUCUCCCUGUAUUGUUCCCGGACCUGCUGUACAAGAGCUUUAUCAAGUGCCACAAGCAGAGAUUUUUGGCUGCUGUCCAUACAGCAGGGAGAGAAAGAACGAGGCAGGGAAAAAAGAGCUCCGGCACUCCCCCUUAUCUGGUUUCCUGGCCUCUGUCUGGGUUGUUUUCAAAGGCAGUCCAUGGGGAGAUGCGGAAAAGAAGUGGCCCUUUUUGGAUGCGGUUGCUUCGAAAGCCCGAGCGCUGCAAAUCCCCCCCGUGCACGGGGAGCGGAGCCUGCCUCGGCGCCGGCUUGGCCGGGAGAGGCGAGAGCACGGGAAAAGCCUGCCCGGCGGCUGUGCCAGCGUCCUACGGUAAAGCUAAAGGCCUGCGGUAGAGCAGGAAAAGCUUCCGCGGCCCGGUUCGGAGUUUGAACAGCAGGACUACGUGCUGGUAGCAGCUUUUGCUUGUCAUACAUAUUUAAAUGGCAAGGAAAAGAUUUCAUGUGCUACACCAGGGGAAUGCCUGAUUGCGUCGUCCCUCUCUUCCAGGUGUUUGGCUUAGCUUUGUAAUACACUGGGAUGAAAUCUAUCCGAGUUGCUGUUGUCCUGCUGUUUAAAACUCCAUUUUCUGUCAAUAUUGCUUCAUUUUUACCAAGUUGCUUACAUGUUUUAUUUUAUUCUUUUUUCCCCGCUUCGCUGCAGCAUUGCAGAAGAUUUUGUUUCUCCAGCUCCUCAGUAAAUAGCCCAGAAGUAAGAGAGUCGGAGACAUGGGAAAGUUAUUUGUUUUCAUUGUCGUGAUGUUUCAUAUCUAUUGCACUUGUCAAUGCGGAAUAUCAAAAAAAAUAGAAAGAAAGAAAGAAGAAAGGUGCCUGGUUUAUCCCCUUUGACUUUCAGAAGCAGUGGAGAGGCUUAUCAUCUGGUCUUCCCAGCUCCUAGCCUUGCUCUUUGCUACUAGAGAUUGCACGGUGACGGAGGCAGACACAACACCCGAGUUACGGUGUGAGAAGGGAAGACGCGCUUGGGACCCCACCAAAGAAAGUCAAGGACAAAAUUCUGCCCUGAAUCUGCCUGGUGCUUUUUGCCUGUAAUACCCAGCUUCUGGACCUCACAUGACCUCGGGGUGAACUAGGCAUUAAGCUGAUUUCCAGGUGAUUUGGGCUCUUCUCAGCCGGUGGAAGUCCCUUGGCCUCUGGCUUCCCGCUUGUAGCAGCAAUACAACCGUGCAGCGUCCGCUGCGCUCGCAGCUUUGUGCAGCCUCUGCUCGGACUCUUGGCUGCCCUCUCCAAUAGAGACAGGGGUAGCAAGGCAAGAAAUUGUAAAAAAAUAGUGUAUCAUGAGACUUGCAGUGUCCUGUGGUCCCACAGCGAGGGCUUCUUCAGAGGACACCCUGAAUAAGGGGACAGGAAGGGGCUGAACGCAGGGUUUCGAGCUGCAAAACACAAACAUUAAGCACCGGCUUAACAUCUCUCCCCAAAGGCGAGGUUUCACCUAUCUGUGUUAUUUCCUUAGCUUUUUAAUUGGAACAAUUCAUUUUCUCAUACAAAGCACGGCAGAUCUAAAUAAGAUAUCCAAGAAGAGCAUUUAAAUAAUCAGAUUGCACUUCAUUUUGUCUCCUGUAAUAAUGAGGUCUUGCACGCAAGGAAACAGGGUCUGAAAGAUUGUUUAAAGCUGCUUUUAAAUGCUUGUACUGGUCAUGGAUUAGGGCUGCAUGGUGCGAGGUUUCACAUUUUUGACUUGGAGCCAGUUGGCAUUUUGUUCUCGACAGGUAAAAACAAGCUGCAGCAGAUGAUCGAUCGAUUAAUUGAUCCAUCUAUCUAUCCAUCCAUGCAUCUAUCCAUCCAUCUAUAUAUCUAUCUACCCCUCCAUCCACCUAUCCAUCCAUCUAUCCAUCUAUAUAUUUAUUCAUCUAUCUAUCCAUCCCUCCCUCUCUCCAUCCGUCCAUCUGUCCAUCUAUCCAUCUACCUAUCAAUGUCUGAAGAUAGCGGAAACAGUCACUUCCAGCUUUGGUGCAAGGUUGGGACUCCUUUGACCUCUGAAUAAUGAUAUAGUUACAAGUAUUAUUAUGGUUACUUGAAUUUUAACUGAAAAAAAAGGGGUUUUGGCGGGGGUAAGAACUGGCAGUUGGGUAACUUGUGUUCCCCCGUGUUUUUAUCCAAACUGUGCUGAUCCCACUAUGCUAAAAAUACCUAGUAAGUCGCUACCGAUAAGACCACAACCGACACGUAGCAAGUUCAGAGGUGCGGCCGGAGGCAAUCAGCUAUCUUUCAGCUGUGACGAUCCAAAAUGGUGUUACAAGGCAGAUUUUUACAUGCAUAGUACAACCACCUAUUCCUCUAAAUCAAAUUUGACUACCAAUGUACAACAGCAGCGGUAAUCAGUUAAUAAAACUUCGCACUUAGAUGCUACUUUCAUGCAAGGAUUUAAAGCCCUUUGCAAAGGUCAAUAUUACAAUGAUGGGAAUUUUCCAGUUGAAAUGUUUUCACUGCGAAGGAAAAAAAGAGAAAUACUUGCUUUUUCCUGCGAGUUAAAAAUUCUACUGUUUGCAAUGCGGGCGAGAAAUAACUCUCUUUGUCAAAAAAAAAAAGAAGAAGAAAUUGCCAUGGAAAUGUUAAUAGAGCUUUGAAGCCACGUCGAAAUUCCUUACUCCUUGUUUAAGAGCCGCGAUGUGCAUUAGCGUCCCUAGUCUGUAAGCAAACAGCAUUUUGCAGAUUAAACUAAAACACAACGGGAAAGUCGCAGAAUUAUUUAGAAAUCUAAUUCCCACUGAAAUCAGCCACCGAGCGUUUUUCGCCUGCAAUUUGACGUGCAUCUAAAUCAGCGCCACUGCCCUCAAAAAAAAUACGCCACCUGCAAGUGCUCCCCGGCCCUACGUGCCACCUUGCGCAGCGCCGGCGUCAGUCUCGGUGGAACCAGUGAAAAAACACCCUGUUUUGCCCAAAGGUUAUUUUUCAGCUGGAUGGAUUAGGUAGAAGAGCCCAGGAGGGUGAACGUCCCCUUGGCCGAGCUCACUCAGGAACGCAGGAAUAUGGCGGUGGUGAGCAAAUGUCCCCGCUUUUGGGUCUUUCUGUCGCAAAUGGGAUGAUGGGGGUGGGAAAACAGGCAUGCAGGAAAAUCAAAUAAACUUUAUUUCCUCAGGGA